CACGGGGGGAGCAAGCGUUGUUCGGAAUCACUGGGCGUAAAGGGCGUGUAGGCGGUCAAGUAAGUGGAAUGUGAAAGCCCCCGGCUUACCCGGGGAUCUGCAUCCCAAACUGCUUGGCUUGAGUACGGGAGAGGAUGGAGGAAUUCCUGGUGUAGCGGUGAAAUGCGUAGAUAUCAGGAGGAACACCGGUGGCGAAGGCGUCCAUCUGGCCCGAUACUGACGCUGAGGAGCGAAAGCGUGGGGAGCGAACAGG
rnacentral:rRNA from 1 species